GAUGAACGCUGGCGGCGUGCUUAACACAUGCAAGUCGAACGGAAAGGCCCAAGCUUGCUUGGGUACUCGAGUGGCGAACGGGUGAGUAACACGUGGGUGAUCUGCCCUGCACUUCGGGAUAAGCCUGGGAAACUGGGUCUAAUACCGGAUAGGACCACAUUUUGGAUGGUGUGGUGGAAAGUUUUUCGGUGUGGGAUGAGCUCGCGGCCUAUCAGCUUGUUGGUGGGGUAAUGGCCUACCAAGGCGUCGACGGGUAGCCGGCCUGAGAGGGUGUACGGCCACAUUGGGACUGAGAUACGGCCCAGACUCCUACGGGAGGCAGCAGUGGGGAAUAUUGCACAAUGGGCGCAAGCCUGAUGCAGCGACGCCGCGUGGGGGAUGACGGCCUUCGGGUUGUAAACUCCUAUCGCUAGGGACGAAGCGUUAUGUGACGGUACCUGGAGAAGAAGCACCGGCUAACUACG
rnacentral:rRNA from 1 species